rnacentral:pre_miRNA from 1 species
UCUUCAUCUCGCGCGCUCUCUUACCAGUUAGAGAAGCGAGAGAGCACGCGAAAUGAAGAGA